ACGGGGCCCGCACAAGCGGUGGAGCAUGUUGGUUUAAUUCGAAGCAACGCGAAGAACCUUUACCAGGUCUUGACAUCCCGAUGCUAUUUCUAGAGAUAGAAAGUUACUUCGGUACAUCGGUGACAGGUGGUGCAUGGUUGUCGUCAGCUCGUGUCGUGAGAUGUUGGGUUAAGUCCCGCAACGAGCGCAACCCCUAUUGUUAGUUGCCAUCAUUCAGUUGGGCACUCUAGCGAGACUGCCGGUAAUAAACCGGAGGAAGGUGGGGAUGACGUCAAAUCAUCAUGCCCCUUAUGACCUGGGCUACACACGUGCUACAAUGGUUGGUACAACGAGUUGCGAGUCGGUGACGGCGAGCUAAUCUCUUAGAGCCAAUCUCAGUUCGGAUUGUAGGCUGCAACUCGCCUACAUGAAGUCGGAAUCGCUAGUAAUCGCGGAUCAGCAUGUCACGGUGAAUACGUUCCCGGGUCUU
rnacentral:rRNA from 1 species